UACAGAGGGUGCAAGCGUUAAUCGGAAUUACUGGGCGUAAAGGGUGCGUAGGUGGUUUGAUAAGUUAGGUGUGAAAGUCCUGGGCUUAACCUGGGGACUGCGCCUAAUACUGUUAAGCUAGAGUACUGUAGAGGGAGGUGGAAUUUCCAGUGUAGCAGUGAAAUGCGUAGAUAUUGGAAGGAACAUCAGUGGCGAAGGCGACUUCCUGGACAGAUACUGACACUGAGGCACGAAAGCGUGGGGAGCAAACAGG
rnacentral:rRNA from 1 species